rnacentral:lncRNA from 1 species
GUUUGGCGGCCGAAACUCCCCUCCAGAGCCGAAAGUCCAUUCUUUCGGGGGCGAGUUUAGGCGGCCAAAGCUGCCUCCUCUAGCAGGUUUGGCGGCCGAACCUGGGUCUUUCUGAGUGACAGAACCCGAUUCUGCCAUCAUGCCCAAGCCACCAAAACUUUCCAAACUCACCCUCAACUAUUCUAAACAUGCAUACAUGCUUAUUCAAGCAUAAAGGGGC